rnacentral:rRNA from 1 species
UUAAAAAGCUCGUAGUUGGAUUUCUGGUUGGAGCGACCGGUCGGGCAUUGAUUUGUCUGCACUGGAGUCGGUUCCGUCCAUCCUCUCGGAAAGUGCGUAUGGCAUUAAGUUGUCGUGCGUAUGAUCCGGGUCUUUUACUGUGAAAAAAUUAGAGUGUUUAAAGCAGGCCUUCGCCUUGAAUACAUUAGCAUGGAAUAAUAAGAUAGGACUUGGGUCUAUUUUGUUGGUUUGCAGACCGAAGUAAUGAUUAAUAGGGAUAGUUGGGGGUAUUUAUAUUCCGAUGUCAGAGGUGAAAUUCUUAGAUUUUCGGAAGAUAAACUUAUGCGAAAGCAUUUACCAAGGAUGUUUUCAUUAAUCAAGGACGAAAGUUAGGGGAUCGAAGAUGAUUAGAUACCAUCGUAGUCUUAACCAUAAACUAUGCCGACUCAGGAUUGGUGAACGU